UUUCCCACGAAUUUUCAGAAAAGGGCUAUUACACAUUUAAAUUAUUCUUUUGGAAUCUGCUUUUCUCUUUUCCGAAAGAUGGCUUAUCAUAAAGCUAUUUUCUUUACUUCAAAACUACAUUUCUCCUUUUGUGGUACACGGGUUAUUCUAGAUCCAUUUUCUGUAGAAAAUAUAAAGGCACAUAAGCAACAAUUACAAAAUGUUUCUAGGAAAAACAAUUAGACUUCAAAAAGUCCCCAGAAAAGCUAAAGCUGAAAACGAAAAAGAAUUAAAAAAAAGACGGAG
rnacentral:misc_RNA from 1 species